CGGGUUGUGAGAGCAAGAGCCCGGAGAUGGAUUUUGAGACAUGAAUCCAGGCCCUACGGGGCGCAGCAGGCGCGAAAACUUUACAAUGCGGGAAACCGCGAUAAGGGCCACUGAGUGCCAGCAUCUUAUGUUGGCUGUCCGCAUGUUUAAAAAGCAUGUGUUAGCAAGGGCUGGGCAAGACCGGCGCCAGCCGCCGCGGUAACACCGGCAGCCCGAGUGGUGAUCACUAUUAUUGGGUCUAAAGGGUCCGUAGCCGGUUUGAUCAGUCUUUUGGGAAAUCUGACAGCUUAACUGUUAGGCUUCCAAAGGAUACUGUCAGACUUGGGACCGGGAGAGGUAAGAGGUACUCCAGGGGUAGGAGUGAAAUCUUGUAAUCCCUGUGGGACCACCAGUGGCGAAGGCGUCUUACCAGAACGGGUCCGACGGUGAGGGACGAAAGCUGGGGGCACGAACCGGAUUAGAUACCCGGGUAGUCCCAGCCGUAAACGAUGCUCGCUAGGUGUCAGGAAUGGUGCGACCGUUUCUGGUGCCGUAGGGAAGCCGUGAAGCGAGCCACCUGGGAAGUACGGCCGCAAGGCUGAAACUUAAAGGAAUUGGCGGGGGAGCACUACAACGGGUGGAGCCUGCGGUUUAAUUGGAUUCAACGCCGG
rnacentral:rRNA from 1 species